UACGGAGGGUGCGAGCGUUGUCCGGAAUCACUGGGCGUAAAGGGCGCGUAGGCGGCUCGGUAAGCGUGUGGUGAAAGCCUGGGGCUCAACCCCGGGUCGGCCAUGCGAACUGUCGAGCUCGAGCACUGUAGAGGCAGGCGGAAUUCCGGGUGUAGCGGUGGAAUGCGUAGAGAUCCGGAAGAACACCGGUGGCGAAGGCGGCCUGCUGGGCAGUAGCUGACGCUGAGGCGCGACAGCGUGGGGAGCAAACAGG
rnacentral:rRNA from 1 species